rnacentral:rRNA from 1 species
UACGGAGGGUGCGAGCGUUAUCCGGAUUUAUUGGGUUUAAAGGGUGCGUAGGCGGAUUGAUAAGUUAGAGGUGAAAUGUCCGAGCUCAACUCGGGAACUGCCUCUAAUACUGUUGAUCUAGGGAGUAGAUGCGGUAGGCGGAAUGUAUGGUGUAGCGGUGAAAUGCUUAGAGAUCAUACAGAACACCGAUUGCGAAGGCAGCUUACCAAUCUAUAUCUGACGUUGAGGCACGAAAGCGUGGGGAGCAAACAGG